rnacentral:rRNA from 1 species
CCUACGGGUGGCAGCAGUGAGGAAUAUUGGUCAAUGGGCGCGAGCCUGACCCAGCCAAGUAGCGUGAAGGAUGACUGCCCUACGGGUUGUAAACUUCUUUUAUAAAGGAAUAAAGUGAGUCACGUGUGCCUUUUUGUAUGUACUUUAUGAAUAAGGAUCGGCUAACUCCGCGCCAGCAGCCGCGGUAAUACGGAGGGUGCGAGCGUUAUCCGGAUUUAUUGGGUUUAAAGGGAGCGUAGAUGGGUUGUUAAGUCAGUUGUGAAAGUUUGCGGCUCAACCGUAAAAUUGCAAUUGAUACUGGCAGUCUGGAGUACAGUUGAGGUAGGCGGAAUUCGUGGUGUAGCGGUGAAAUCCUUAGAUAUCACGAAGAACUCCGAUGGCGAAGGCAACUUACUAACCUGCCACUGACAUUGAUGCUCGAAAGUGUGGGUAGCAAACAGGAUUAGAUACCCGAGUAGUC